GAUGAAGAACGUAGCGAAUUGCGAUAUGUAAUGUGAAUUGCAGAAUUCAGUGAAUCAUCGAAUCUUUGAACGCACAUUGCGCCCCUUGGUAUUCCGAGGGGCAUGCCUGUUCGAGCGUCAUUAUCACCCCUCAAGCUCAGCUUGGUGUUGGGGCCGGCCCGUCACAGGGCCGCCCCUAAAAGCAGUGGCGGUGCCAUCUGGCUCUACGCGUAGUAAUACUCCUCGCGACAGAGUCCCGGUGGUGUCCUGCCAGAACCCCCCAUCUUUUUAAUGAUUGACCUCGGAUCAGGUAGGGAUACCCGCUGAACUUAAGCAUAUCAAUAAGCGGAGGA
rnacentral:misc_RNA from 1 species